CAAUCAGCAUCGGCAAAGGCGUGAGACGCAAGGGUGUGCGAGAAUGAAGAAACAAGCCAUGACACAAGGUCACUUUUAGAACAUAUUUCAUUUUUGCACUUCAUCACCAAUAUAUGUGCUGUAAUUGGAGGUAUCUUCCACGGUUGCGGGGAUCAUCGACUCGUUUGUAUAUCAUGGUCAAAGAAAGAUCAAGAAGGAAAUCAGAAAAUUCAGAUGAUUCUCCUCUUACACAUAUGUUACCUUGGCUUAAAAAGCAAAAAAAGCAUUACCUUGGCUUUCAACACAGUUUUUUUAGAGCUUUUCGAUGGUUGAUAAUCCUGCUUGCAUAUGGAUCCAUGAUGCUGUUUACAUGCCGGACUGUAUGACAACAUAGUAGUCCCUGAAUCAUUGUUGAAACUGCCUGAUUUACCCAAUAUAUUUACAGUCAAAGAUCUAUUGAUGCGCCUGUAAUUUGUA